rfam:Medicago truncatula strain A17 chromosome 5, whole genome shotgun sequence.
UUGUCUCUUAGAGUUCCUUUGAACGCUUCAUGCAUGAGAAUAUCUAUCUAUUUGGUUUAAAAUCCAUUAGGAUAGAUAGUUCUUCUUAAAUGAAGUGUUUGGGGGAACUCUUGGGUUCAA